rnacentral:misc_RNA from 1 species
GAUGAAGAACGCAGCGAAAUGCGAUACGUAAUGUGAAUUGCAGAAUUCAGUGAAUCAUCGAGUCUUUGAACGCACAUUGCGCCCUCUGGUAUUCCGGAGGGCAUGCCUGUCCGAGCGUCAUUACAACCCUCAAGCUCAGCUUGGUGUUGGGCCCCGCCGCCCCGGCGGGCCCUAAAGUCAGUGGCGGUGCCGUCCGGCUCCGAGCGUAGUAAUUCUUCUCGCUCUGGAGGUCCGGUCGUGUGCUCGCCAGCAACCCCCAAUUUUUUUCAGGUUGACCUCGGAUCAGGUAGGGAUACCCGCUGAACUUAAGCAUAUCAAUAAGCGGAGGA